rnacentral:rRNA from 1 species
CGGAGGCUUACACAUGCAAGUCGAGCGGUAACAUUUCUAGCUUGCUAGAAGAUGACGAGCGGCGGACGGGUGAGUAACGCGUAGGAAUCUGCCUAGUAGUGGGGGACAACAUGUGGAAACGCAUGCUAAUACCGCAUACGCCCUAUGGGGGAAAGGAGGGGAUCUUCGGGCCUUUCGCUAUUAGAUGAGCCUGCGUGAGAUUAGCUAGUUGGUGGGGUAAAGGCCUACCAAGGCGACGAUCUCUAGCUGGUCUGAGAGGAUGAUCAGCCACACUGGGACUGAGACACGGCCCAGACUCCUACGGGAGGCAGCAGUGGGGAAUAUUGGACAAUGGGCGCAAGCCUGAUCCAGCCAUGCCGCGUGUGUGAAGAAGGCCUUAGGGUUGUAAAGCACUUUCAGGAGUGAGGAAGGGCGUAUAGUUAAUACCUGUAUGUUUUGACGUUAACUCCAGAAGAAGCACCGGCUAACUCUGUGCCAGCAGCCGCGGUAAUACAGAGGGUGCGAGCGUUAAUCGGAAUUACUGGGCGUAAAGCGCGCGUA